rnacentral:rRNA from 1 species
AGAGUUUGAUCCUGGCUCAGGAUGAACGCUAGCUACAGGCUUAACACAUGCAAGUCGAGGGGCAGCAUCAUCAAAGCUUGCUUUGAUGGAUGGCGACCGGCGCACGGGUGAGUAACACGUAUCCAACCUGCCGACAACACUGGGAUAGCCUUUCGAAAGAAAGAUUAAUACCGGAUGGCAUAAUUAUUCCGCAUGGGAUAAUUAUUAAAGAAUUUCGGUUGUCGAUGGGGAUGCGUUCCAUUAGGCAGUUGGCGGGGUAACGGCCCACCAAACCUACGAUGGAUAGGGGUUCUGAGAGGAAGGUCCCCCACAUUGGAACUGAGACACGGUCCAAACUCCUACGGGAGGCAGCAGUGAGGAAUAUUGGUCAAUGGGCGAGAGCCUGAACCAGCCAAGUAGCGUGCAGGAUGACGGCCCUAUGGGUUGUAAACUGCUUUUAUAAGGGAAUAAAGUGAGUCUCGUGAGACUUUUUGCAUGUACCUUAUGAAUAAGGACCGGCUAAUUCCGUGCCAGCAGCCGCGGUAAUACGGAAGGUCCGGGCGUUAUCCGGAUUUAUUGGGUUUAAAGGGAGCGUAGGCCGGAGAUUAAGCGUGUUGUGAAAUGUAGACGCUCAACGUCUGCACUGCAGCGCGAACUGGUUUCCUUGAGUACGCACAAAGUGGGCGGAAUUCGUGGUGUAGCGGUGAAAUGCUUAGAUAUCACGAAGAACUCCGAUUGCGAAGGCAGCUUACUGGAUUGUAACUGACGCUGAUGCUCGAAAGUGUGGGUAUCAAACAGGAUUAGAUACCCUGGUAGUCCACACAGUAAACGAUGAAUACUCGCUGUUUGCGAUAUACAGUAAGCGGCCAAGCGAAAGCAUUAAGUAUUCCACCUGGGGAGUACGCCGGCAACGGUGAAACUCAAAGGAAUUGACGGGGGCCCGCACAAGCGGAGGAACAUGUGGUUUAAUUCGAUGAUACGCGAGGAACCUUACCCGGGCUUAAAUUGCAACUGACGGAACCGGAAACGGUUCUUUCUUCGGACAGUUGUGAAGGUGCUGCAUGGUUGUCGUCAGCUCGUGCCGUGAGGUGUCGGCUUAAGUGCCAUAACGAGCGCAACCCUUACGGGUAGUUACCAUCAGGUUAUGCUGGGGACUCUACCCGGACUGCCGUCGUAAGAUGUGAGGAAGGUGGGGAUGACGUCAAAUCAGCACGGCCCUUACGUCCGGGGCUACACACGUGUUACAAUGGGGGGUACAGAAGGCAGCUACACGGCGACGUGGUGCUAAUCCCAAAAGCCUCUCUCAGUUCGGAUUGGAGUCUGCAACCCGACUCCAUGAAGCUGGAUUCGCUAGUAAUCGCGCAUCAGCCACGGCGCGGUGAAUACGUUCCCGGGCCUUGUACACACCGCCCGUCAAGCCAUGAAAGCCGGGGGUACCUGAAGUACGUAACCGCGAGGAGCGUCCUAGGGUAAAACUGGUGAUUGGGGCUAAGUCGUAACAAGGUAGCCGUACCGGAAGGUGCGGCUG